rnacentral:rRNA from 1 species
CACGUGGGAGGCGAGCGUUGUCCGGAUUCAUUGGGCGUAAAGAGCGCGCAGGCGGUUUGGCAAGUCGGAUGUGAAAUCCCGCGGCUCAACCUCGGGACUGCAUCCGAAACUGCCCGACUAGAGGUAGGUAGGGGAGAUCGGAAUUCCUGGUGUAGCGGUGAAAUGCGCAGAUAUCAGGAGGAACACCGGUGGCGAAGGCGGAUCUCUGGGCCUUACCUGACGCUCAGGCGCGAAAGCUAGGGGAGCGAAC